AGUACAGAGGGUUGCCAAGCCGUAAGGUGGAGCUAAUCCCUUAAAGCUACUCUCAGUUCGGAUUGUAGGCUGAAACUCGCCUACAUGAAGCUGGAGUUACUAGUAAUCGCAGAUCAGAAUGCUGCGGUGAAUGCGUUCCCGGGGCUUGUACACACCGCCCGUCACACCACGGGAGUUGGAGACGCCCGAAGCCGAUUAUCUAACCUUUUGGAAGAAGUCGUCGAAGGUGGAAU
rnacentral:rRNA from 1 species